rnacentral:lncRNA from 1 species
CGGCAGAAGGUCCCUGCGGCACCGGCACACGUGGACGCGGGUCACACGGCAGCGCACGGACCCUGUACGCGUGACCCACACGGGAUCUCCCUGCCAUUGCUACAUGGACCCACGUGGGAUCCCCUGGUGCCACCAGGACAACAYGGCAUCAGCACAGGAUCCCCCUGCCGCCACACGGGAUCCCCCUGCCGCAAGACGGAUGCACGUGGGAUCUCCCUGCCGUUGCUACAUGGACCCACACGGGAUCCCCUGGUGCCGCAUGGACCCACACGGGAUUCCCUACUGCCACCAGGACCACAUGGUAUCGGCACAGGAUCCCCCUGCCGCGACACGGACCCGUACAGGAUCCUGCUGCCACCACAUGGAUGCGCAUUGGAUCUCUCUGCCGCUGCCACACGGGAUCCCCUGGUGCCACCAGGACCACAUGGCAUCAGCAUGGGAUCCCCCUGCCGCAACACGGACCCACACGGGAUCCUGCUGCUGCCACACGGACUCACAUGGGAUCCCCUGGUGCCACAUGGACCCACACGGGAUCCCUCCACCACCGCUACAUGGACCCACAUGGGAUCCCCUGGUGCCACCAGGACCACAUGGCAUCAGCAUGGGAUCCCCCUGCCACCGCUUGGAUGCACAUGGGAUCCUGCUGCUGCCACAUGGACCCACACGGGAUCCCCUGGUGCCACAUGGACCCACACGGGAUCCCCCCACUGCUGCACAGACCCACACGGGAUCCCACCGCUACAACACGGAGCCACAUGGGAUCCCCCACCGCCACAUGGGAUCCUCCUGCCACCACCACACGGACCCACACGGGAUCUCUCACCACCGCCACACGGACCCACACGGGAUCUCUCACCACCGCAACACGGACCCACACGGGAUCUCCCCACCGCCGCAACACGGACCCACACGGGACCCCCGGUGCCCCACGGAUCCCCCCGGGAUCCCCCCACCGCCACAACACGGAUCCACCCGGGCCCCCGCCCCCCACGCGCACCGAGCGGGGGGCUCAGCCCCCCCCCAUUUAUUUAUCCACGGAAUUAAUUUAUGUUAAUUUAUUCACCGGGCGCCGGGGCCCCUCCCCCCCGGCCC